rnacentral:RNase_P_RNA from 1 species
CAGCCGGACCGGACGGCCGCUUCUUGCGUCUUCGGAUGCGAGGAGAGGAAAGUCCGAACUCCGCAGAGCAGUGUGCCGGAUAACGUCCGGGACGCCAGGUUCAAGCCUGGCGGACGGAAAGUGCCACAGAAAACAUACCGCCCCGGAAACGGGGUAAGGGUGAAAAGGUGCGGUAAGAGCGCACCGCCGCGGCAGUAAUGUCGCGGGCAGGGCAAACCCCACACGGAGCAAGACCAAAUAGGGAGGAAGCUCGCGGCUUCGGCUGCGAGCACGUGCUGGCUCGGUGCGUCAAACCUUCGGGUAGGUCGCUAGAGCCGCGCAGCAAUGCACGGCCCAGAGGAAUGGUCGUCCCGCAACAGCAAUGUUGCGGACAAAAUUCGGCUUACAGGUCCGGCUGCCAC